GGGUUACUCCUUGGCGCUUGCGCGCUGUUUUGAUGAAGAUUCGCACCUCUAUCAAAACGGGUAACCCCGCCUCUUGGCAAGGCCUUACUGUCAGAUCAAGUCUGAACUUCUACAUUUGAGCUUGUACUGCGACUAUUGGUCCGAAGAACGUCGCCGCGACGAUAGCGAGAUCGGUGAUUUUGAUUGUCCAGUCCCAUGCCA
rnacentral:sRNA from 1 species